rnacentral:sRNA from 2 species
CCCUGCUUGGGGCCGUGCUAAGCUGCUCACAGAACACACUAAAAACAAACCUUGGGAUCUUCUAUUAAUAUCUGAGAAUUGGCUCUCUGCAGCUGCUCCAGCCUCACAGCCUGUGAUGAUAGAAAACCUCAAGGAUUGUCAGCGGACGCCUACUACAUAUUCACAUGUUUCAUACUGUAUAUUCUUGUGUAUAUUUUUUGAACUCAUUUCCUUAUCCCCAGAAUCCGGACGGUCCACGGGGAUUCGAAAAUGGAUACCGCUACUGACAGGAGGCUCUCACAUGCUUUGUAUUCAUUAUUUAUUCUCCCAGACA